GACGAACGCUGGCGGCGUGCUUAACACAUGCAAGUCGAACGGAAAGGCCCUGCUUUUGUGGGGUGCUCGAGUGGCGAACGGGUGAGUAACACGUGAGUAACCUGCCCUUGACUUUUGGAUAACUUCAGGAAACUGGGGCUAAUACCGGAUAGGAGCUCCUGCUGCAUGGUGGGGGUUGGAAAGUUUCGGCGGUUGGGGAUGGACUCGCGGCUUAUCAGCUUGUUGGUGGGGUAGUGGCUUACCAAGGCUUUGACGGGUAGCCGGCCUGAGAGGGUGACCGGCCACAUUGGGACUGCGAUACGGCCCAGACUCCUACGGGAGGCAGCAGUGGGGAAUAUUGCACAAUGGGCGGAAGCCUGAUGCAGCAACGCCGCGUGCGGGAUGACGGCCUUCGGGUUGUAAACCGCUUUCGCCUGUGACGAAGCGUGAGUGACGGUAAUGGGUAAAGAAGCACCGGCUAACUACGUG
rnacentral:rRNA from 1 species